rnacentral:rRNA from 1 species
UACGUAGGGUGCAAGCGUUGUCCGGAUUAUGGUGCGUAAAGCGCACGUAGGCGGUUUGUUAAGUGAGAGGUGAAAUCCCAGAGCUCAACUCUGGAACUGCCUUUCAUACUGGCAAGCUAGAGUCCGGAAGAGGUAAGUGGAACUCCUAGUGUAGAGGUGGAAUUCGUAGAUAUUAGGAAGAACACCAGUGGCGAAGGCGGCUUACUGGUCCGGAACUGACGCUGAGGUGCGAAAGCGUGGGGAGCAAACAGG